rnacentral:lncRNA from 1 species
GCACAGUCUUCUAUCACCCAGGGAAUUAAAUUAAAUUCACUGCAGAACACAGUUGGGAUGUGUUCACUGAAAGCAGAGGCAUACAUACACAGGGUGGCAGAACCGCUGCUGGCCAAGGUGAAGGGGCCAGAGCUGUAUGUGGAGAGGUGGAAGAUGCUUCAUGAGCUAAAUCCCAAUCCCAGGGGAGCUGGUAAGACCAUGGUCAACUCAGUGUUCAUGACAGACACACUUAACCUUAUCUGCUAUUUGGUGAGAGCAGGACACGCAAAAGUGUGUUGUGAGGUAUGGGGGAGAACAUAUGGUAUUGGUCCCUGCAGUCGCGGCAGUCAACAGAUCCUUCAGCAAAGGGACAUCAACUACUAUUACCUCAUACUAUGCCACAGUUAACAACCCUAGAUCAAGUUUGGCAUAUACUUCAUUCUGAAACAAAUGUUUCCUCUCAUGCCUUUGACAGAAGAGAGGCAUUGGAUUCUCGAUGAAGCCAGGAAAAUUCUGUUGAAAACGUCUGGAGGCACGUUUUUUCCCAUUUGAGGGGAAGAAAGUUUAUUUUUACAAACAAGCCCAAAUCCUUGUAACAGAUAUGUGGAAAGUAUUAGAAGAAAAAGGAGAUGGCUGCUUUAAGACAUCUAUGUUUGCUAACUACAGAUUACUUCAGGUUCUUGCUCACCAUGGACCUCUGAAAUACUCUUACGAACUACUGAAGAACCUUUUCGAAGGAGAAAUACUGUCAUAUGGGGAUAAGCAAGAGUGGGAAAAUCAGCAUGCUCACUUUGGUUGUGGUGAGCUGAUCUGGGAUUGCCUUCUGAGGCUUAUUGAAAAGGGAACGAAAA